GGUAGUGAAAGAGAAGGUAUAGACUGAGAGAUGGAGAAAGAGAGGAGGGGGUAGUGAAAGAGAAGGUAUAGACUGAGAGAUGGAGAAAGAGAGGAGGGGGUAGUGAAAGAGAAGGUAUAGACUGAGAGAUGGAGAAAGAGAGGAGGGGGUAGUGAAAGAGAAGGUAUAGACUGAGAGAUGGAGAAAGAGAGGAGGGGGUAGUGAAAGAGAAGGUAUAGACUGAGAGAUGGAGAAAGAGAGGAGGGGGUAGUGAAAGAGAAGGUAUAGACUGAGAGAUGGAGAAAGAGAGGAGGGGGUAGUGAAAGAGAAGGUAUAGACUGAGAGAUGGAGAAAGAGAGGAGGGGGUAGUGAAAGAGAAGGUAUAGACUGAGAGAUGGAGAAAGAGAGGAGGGGGUAGUGAAAGAGAAGGUAUAGACUGAGAGAUGGAGAAAGAGAGGAGGGGGUAGUGAAAGAGAAGGUAUAGACUGAGAGAUGGAGAAAGAGAGGAGGGGGUAGUGAAAGAGAAGGUAUAGACUGAGAGAUGGAGAAAGAGAGGAGGGGUAGUGAAAGAGAAGGUAUAGACAGAGAUGGAGAAAGAGAG